UCAAAGAAAAGGAAAUGGCCUGAAGACCUGAAGACGAAAAUUCUCGCUCAGUAUGAAGCCGGCAUGUCGGAGGUGGAACUGGUUUCCAUACACGGUGUGCCAAGAUCAACCAUUCGUACUUGGCGUAAAAAUCAAGAGAGAAUAGCGCCAGACAAGAGCAAAGAGGAAGACUUUCAGAGUGAAAUAGACACCCGACGACCAGUUCUAACGCUAAAAAGACUAAGAGACAACCCACAACUGGACACAGAAAAGGUAGCUAGAAAAGUAUUAUUUGUUAUAUUUUUUACGAAAAGAAAGAGUUUAAUAAUAAGCUAGUGUGACAGAGUAAGAAGGCAGAGAAAGUGAUGGGAAGACAACAUAAAAGAAUGUGGGGUGCCCCAAGGGUCCAAUAGGCUAAGGGAUAGGUCAAGAAAUGUGUCGAAAGUAAGAAAGCUGGGGAAAAAUAUCAACAUUAAUAAGACUUAAUAAAAUGGAAAACAA
rnacentral:sRNA from 1 species